rnacentral:misc_RNA from 1 species
AACCAUUCUCACCUGCGGCUAGACCUGCGGAAGGAUCAUUAACCUUUCAAAUCAGGGUGCGGCGCGGCCCCCGAGGAGCGGAAACAAUCCUUGGGAGGUAUGCGGGGGCUUCGAGCCCCCCAUUUACGCACGCACGACUGCCAUCCUUACUUUACGAGCACCUUCUGUUCUCCCUCGGCGGGGCAACCUGCCGUUGGAACCGAAUAAACUCUUUUUGCAUCUAGCAUUACCUGUUCCGAA